rnacentral:rRNA from 1 species
GACGAACGCUGGCGGCGUGCUUAACACAUGCAAGUCGAACGAUGAACCGGAGCUUGCUCCGGGGAUUAGUGGCGAACGGGUGAGUAACACGUGGGCAACCUGCCCAGACACCGGGAUAACCUUCCGAAAGGAUGGCUAAUACCGGAUAUGACCACUUCGGGCAUCCGACGGUGGUGGAAAGGAUUCUGGUCUGGGAUGGGCCCGCGGCCUAUCAGCUUGUUGGUGGGGUAAUGGCCUACCAAGGCGACGACGGGUAGCCGGCCUGAGAGGGCGACCGGCCACACUGGGACUGAGACACGGCCCAGACUCCUACGGGAGGCAGCAGUGGGGAAUAUUGCGCAAUGGGCGAAAGCCUGACGCAGCGACGCCGCGUGAGGGACGAAGGUCUUCGGAUUGUAAACCUCUUUCAGCAGGGACGAAGCGAAAGUGACUGUACCUGCAGAAGAAGCACCGGCUAACUACGUG